CCUACGGGAGGCAGCAGUGAGGAAUAUUGCGCAAUGGGCGAAAGCCUGACGCAGCAACGCCGCGUGGAUGAUGAAGUCUUUCGGAAUGUAAAAUCCUUUUGCAGAGGAAGAAAAUGCUGGUUUACCGGCACUGACGGUACUCUGCGAAUAAGCCACGGCUAACUCUGUGCCAGCAGCCGCGGUAAU
rnacentral:rRNA from 1 species